CAAAUGACCUCAAAUCAGGUAUGA
rnacentral:rRNA from 1 species